rnacentral:lncRNA from 1 species
CUGAAACAAGUGUUCGUGGGUUCGUAUUGACCCGAGGAGCCGAGGCGGCUUCCAUAAAUCGUAGGAUCGCAUCCCAAGCAUCAUAACGAAGAACCGAAGACCAUUAAUUUACGAAUCGCAAAUCGGUGGUCAUCUGACGGUCGUGUGUGAGUGGGGUCGAGCCAUGCGGCGUGCGCCGCGGGAGGCCGAUUGCGGGUGACGACGAGCAAUCGGAACGCGAUAAAAGGUGGUUGGUGACCAUCCCGAAGCAACAGGGCCCCCUUCUAUGUCUUAGUACAUUUUGAUUCUUGCAUCUUGUAUUAUUGCACUAUAGGAUGAUUGUGCAUUGCCUUUCCUUAUGCUUUCCUUGAUGAUAUCGUAGCAUGUACUGGAUACUUGAUAUAGUGGAUUGAUAAGGAUUGGGUCGAGACUUGUGAAUCCUAUAGUGCAGAGAAAAAGAUGGGCUCAAUGGUUGGUUUAAUGUUAAACAAAGAACGAGUGGCAUUUAGUCGAUAGUAAACAAUGAACGAGUGGCAAUCUAGUUGAUAGUGUAUAAGAAAACAAGUGAUACAUGUCAAACUUAGUGUAUACGACACUUAUGGACUAUAUGAUGAUAGUAAACCUAGAGGAUAGGGUACCCUCGAGUGGAGAGGAUUGGAUCAUGCUCACGGUCUAUUUUUUUUAACUUGUGAUGGAAGCCCCACACAAGAAGUGCGCUCCGGAGUUGGUCACAUGGGAUGGCCUAUUUUGGGUCCCAAGGGAUGGCCUAUUUUGGGUCCCGGCAGAUGGUCUCGGUUCGUAGUGCGAGUUGACCCCCCCUACCUUCGACAUGGCUAGUGAGCAGUAGGCGAGCCUUCAGGGAAGCCACGAGAUUAAUAAACAAGUAAAUGAGAUUGAUGAACAAGUACAUAGCUUUACUUUUUGGACAUGAUGACAGGUUAGUUGCUUACCAUUUCAUUGUACAUGCAUUCAUAUGUUUAUGAUUCGGGCAUAGUAGUGUAGCUUUACUAUCCUGUCUUUACAGCUUUGCUUUUUAUCUACCUAUCUAUCUGGUUAUCUACUUGUGCCCACUUGGACCUAGUGGGGAGACCGGCGGAGUCGGCUGCCGAACCCACUGGGAACUAAGGAAGUUAGUUCUCACCCCCCAUUUUACUACAGGGCCGAGCGCGAGCUUGCUCAGCGAGGAUCGCGGUAAGGGCCUAGCGCCCUAGUUGCAUUAGUUUACUUUCCUAUUUCUGCAUUAGAGUCACCUUUAUAUGCAUUGAGAGUAGAUGAUGUAUAGGAUGUGAGAUAUUCUGGAAUGAAUGUAAGCUAAUGUUUAUAUUUUGGAAGAUGUAAGCUUUAUAUUAUGUUUAGAAGCUUAAUGUAUAAUCAAGUUGUAUUAUAAAGGCUGAAUGAAUGUAAUAGAUAGAUGUUCCUCUCUUUAUCAUUACUUGUAUAUCUUAUACUUGUAUCUUGCUCUUAGUUGUUUAGCACUGAUUGUGCUCCCCUCGUAGUUGUUGAGUGAUCAUGUAUGUAUUCAAGUGAUUUCCUGGGAACUUGUUGUACAUGAUCUCGCUGUUGGCCUUGGGCGGACAGGGGAGGUGCUGUCCGUUCGGCGUCUGUUCGACGCGCCCGAACUGGACCAAAUUGGUAUCGAUUUCGGGGCGUGACAGAUAAAAGUGGUAUUAGAGUAGUUAAGAUCAAGUAAAGAGAGAAGUCUAGGAUGGACCUAGGGGACCCUAGGACGGUGAACCCUAAGGUUAUAGGUGCGUGAGUGACGUGAACCUAUACGGUGGCGAAAUUUGGAUCGAUUGGGUCAAGUUAGUAAACCUCUAAGAUGGAUGUUAGAGGUGGAUUCAAGGUUUUGUUUAUUCUCACCCGAGAGUGUUCAUGUUGGAUGCAUACAACAUGAAACUGAGUGGUGAGAAUAGGCACCCUUGUAUGACUUUCGCCCGAUUGAGUUGCGUUGGCUAGUAUUUGCGACGAAGUUAGUGGGUUAAGGUAAUUAACCGAGUCGUUGUGUUUCAGAAGCUAAUGGCACCAAGGAGACACUACGCGCGUAGAACCGUUCAGGCACUGCCUCCUGAGGUGCCUGAGCGAGCUGGGUCAAGUGAAGCUCAAGAAUUACGAGCGCGGGUGACUACGCUUAUCGGAGUGAUUCAACGCCAAGGAAGUCAGAUCGAGCGGCUCCAAGAGCUUUUGGAGCGACAAGUGGCGACGGCGGCCGUGACGGCAACUGAAGGCCAUGGUCCGUCUGCGCCCUCGGCUCGCGCGCCUAAUGCGCCUGAGGGCGUGAGCAUUUUGGUGACUCCGGCGGUGGCACAUCCCCUGCCGGCUAGUGUUCCUCUGGCGGCUUCGGGUCCUACGAUACUCGAUGCGGCAGCUGGGGAAGUGAGGCAGGAACGCGAGGCGUUCAAGGAGAGUGGAGUGAAGAAACGGCCUGGUGGUGGUUUGGGGGAACAGUCUAGUUCCAAAAAGGCCCCGAAGUACCAAAAGAGACGGUCUGUUAGCCAAGCACCUCAGCGAUGUGUGUUUUGCGGUGGAGAGCAUCGCGCAGGGACUUGUGAGCAUCGGGCGGGACGAUGCUUCAGGUGUGGUGAGGCGGGACAUAUGGCCCGUCAGUGCGCGGAAGGAGUGCCACCUGCCCCGUCAGUUGCAUCCGCCCCAGAGAUUCAGCGACAGUUUGGUGGAGUUCCGUCUGCUACUGCCGUAUCUGCGGGGUGUGUGAUUUGUGGAGGAUCCCACCAGGCGCGGCGGUGUGCGCUGCAAAAGGGAAGGUGUUUUCGUUGUGGGUAGUUUGGCCACGUGCAAUAUAGUUGCCCCUUGGGCGAUGGACGACUCCUGCCGACAGCGACGACAUUCACCUCUUCGGGACAGAUGGUGGAUGUGCAGCCUGUGGAACAGUCUGGAGAGCUAGGGGUGGUCGAGCAGCCGGAGGAUUCUCAGGGAGCGCCAAGCGGCCCUGGAUGCGCGGAUCAAGUCGAGGAACCUGCUGGUGUUGGUGAUGCUACCGCAGGUAUGAUUUAAUUAAAGCAAUCAUAUAUUCUAGCAAGAAGUAGUUUGAACAAUUGCAUGCAUUUGCUUUGUGGUCUUUCGCUACUAUUUAUAUGUUAGUAUAGUGGCGACCAGGACGUGGGUUAGUGUACCUACUCUAGUAUGCAUAGGUUGUAGUAGUAUGUCACCUAAAGGGGAUUGGUGAUUAGUCAGUACCGGCAAGUUGCUGGUGACGAACCGAGAGUGAGACUCCCUUUGGGGAUCUGUGCGUUGUAGGGUGAGGCGGGGUACGCCUAGCCGUGCGUUGUUUGCAAACAAUCGGCAAAGGUGUGGUAGAAAGGCAUUCGAUGGAAUCGAUUGCCUGGCCUCCCUUCUGUGGUCAGGGAUGAGUUCAGGGAUUGGUAUCCUCUGUUCACUUCCCCGACGGUGAGAGAGGAAAGCUUCAAGAAAGGUUUCCAAAGCUGUGGCAGGUAAACUGCACUGUGAGACGAUACGAGCGGGAGUUCUCCCUUGUCGUGAAAUGCAUCCCGAACGUAGUGCGGGAUGAUGAGGACAUGGCCGAAUUGCUUGUGCGGAGAUUUCGGCCGGGCGUUGUUAAGGUCGUGUAUGUAAGGAAAGUGGAUUCUCGAAAUCCGUGGAUUUGACUUCGUCAAAAAUCGGCUAAUUGUCGAGUGUGUAGGCUUCGGAGAAGCCGAAUGUCACGCCCCGGGAUCGGCAGAGGCCCUCCCGGGAGCGCGCCCAGACCCGCCAUAUGUCUACACAUAUAAGGCGUCUACAAUAAAAGCGGAAGUAAAAGCAAAAAUAAUCUACAACUAGAGAUAUCAGAGCAAAUAUAAUUCUAUCAUCUAUAAGGAGAGAGUACAAAGAUCACAACUAAACCAUAGAAGUAAAAUAUAAGGGAAUACAAUAUCUGUCCAAAAGUACACAAAAGGGGUGGUCUCUAGUACACUGGUACAGCUCUCAACCUCUUCAAAAUAAAAACAUCGAGAGGUAGACCACCUAGCGACUCGUCACUCGCUGAAGAGCUAGCUCGAAGCCACGCCCUUCCCUCGGUCCCUAGCCUCUCCCGGCGUGGAAGGCUCUGAAAGAAAACAUAAAACAGAGGGCGUGAGAACUAUAAUUUAUAGUUCCCAGUGGGCAAUUACUGACCUCAGCUCAAUGCACCACUAGGCCCCAAAAGAAAAGGGUAAGUAACGACAAUAAUAAUAAGCAAUAAAGAGCGAGUAUAAGAACUGCUGAAAGAAAGCAUAAAUGAAAUGCUAUACUACUUAUGUUUCAAGUAAGCAUGAUAUCAGGGGAUGUAACAUCUACGCUAUCAUAAGAUAAUAUGUCCAAUGCAUAGGAGUAAGCUCUAUCAAAGCACCCAGUAUACUAUGAUGUAAUGAAUGAAACAAGCAAGUUAUACUAUAUAUAGUAUCCAAUGCCUUGUCAUUGAGCAUGUCAAGUAAUCCAACUACUAAGCCUAUCUAGUAGUGAUUAUACAUCUCAACACUUGUGCUCGAUUUCCAUUUCCAAUUAAGGACCUACCAAGUUAGUCCAGCUGUUGCCGCCUAAGUGGCCUAUGGUAGCCCAACAUCCCCACUCUUGGAAUGUGUAUGUCCCACGUCGACCGCUGGCUUCUCAAUACCGCACAGCGAACAUAAGUCGCGUAGGCUAACUCCGGAGUGCCGGCUUUAGGGAGCGCCCUCAUAAGCAUGUGCGAAUGAGCACAAAUGGCAAACAAGCAUAGUCAACGUCUCAAGUAUCCAAUCCUCAUGUCUUAACAUGGUAUCGUCACUAGCAUCCCAAAUCUAGUUAAGUCACAAGGGUGAAUUCUAACAUUCACUACGCCUAGUGCCCCUUGAUGACACUUAGACAAUUUAAUGUUCAACAUAAUCAAAUCCCUCAAUGGCCUAACACUAGUUCACACAUACCGAGCUCAAUGCGCUUGAUGACAUUAGCUCUUAAUUCACAAUACAUUCUAGUUCGAUGCCUCUUAUAUGGCAAUUUGUUAUUUUCAUGUCUCAAAUAAACCUAGGUUUAAAUAUAUGAAUCAAAGCUUAUUUCAUUAUAAGGAACAUGGCCAACAUGAGAAUUGCUAAACAAUCAACCAUAAGCUUCAUAUGCGACUCUCUAUACAAGAAGUCAAAAUUGCACUAAUAUGUAACAUAGGAAUUUAAGCAUUCAAAAUUCACAAUAUAAAUACAUAUAACAAGAAUAUGCAUGCUUUUCAUUUUACAACACUUAAAUCAUCAACAAUGAGAUUUUCUCAUUGUGGCUAGGUCAAACCACCGAACCAUCGCGCAGUGCUCGUUUACGCCGAACGAAGUUGUCCACGGUCUCAAAAUACCCUAAAAGUAUUGAACGAAGAGAUUGUCACGCCCCGGACCAGCGGAAGCCGCCAGCACGUGCCCAGACCCGCAUACGUCUAAACAUAUAAGGCGUCUAAAACACGGAUAAUAAAGCAGUAAUAGAGAACAUCUAGGAGUAUCAGAGCAUGUUAAGUUUUAGUUUCUACAUCCAGGUAAGAAGUAUAAAGCUGAAAUAUACUAAGUAAAACAUAAAGUCAGUACAAAGAAAAUUCCAAAUACAAGUGCUAAAGGAAAGAGUCAUGGGUGGUCUCUAUACAUGGAUACAAAAACCUCUCACUCUCUCUAGUACAAAAGAAUGACAAAAAACCACCUAGGGUAAACACAAGCUCUGCGGCCUAACUAGCUAGGCGAUCCCCUUGCCGCGAUCCCGUGCUCGCCUGUGCAGAAGGCUCUGAAAUGAAAACCACAAACGGGGGCGUGAGAACUAUUAAAAAUAGUUCCCAGUGGGCAAUUACUGACUUCAGUGAACUGCACCACGAGACCCAAAAGCUACAAAAAGAAGGUCAGUGUAUGAGUACAAUAAAAGCAGUAAAUGCAACUGACAAUUAAACAUGAAUGCUUGCUACCAUAGGCUACUUCUACUUAGCAUGAAUUUGGCAUAAGUAAGAAAGCUAUUUUAGUCAAUAUACUAAGCCGUCAUCUGUCCACAUGUCAUAGUGAAGUACCCGAAGUCAAAUAUGAAGAGACCCACCCGAAGGCUGUCUAAGGCCCUGAGACCCACUCGUAGGCUGUCUGGCCGGUGCCGAGCCUAGUGGCCCCGUGGUAGUCAUCAUCCCCACCCUAGGGAUGAGCCUGGCCCACGGCAAUCCAUUUCGGCGCCCAAUCCCGCACGGCGAAUAUGAAUCGCGAUGGCUAUCUCCGGAGUGCCAGCUUGUAGGGAGCGACCCUCACAAGCAUGUGCAAAUGAGCACAAUGGCAAAUAGUCAUAUGUCUAGUCACAAGUACCAAGUCCUCAUGUCUAAUAACAUGGAAUGUAUCGAAUGUCCCAAAGGCCUAUCUCUAUGUCAUCCUGUCUCUAAAUUGCAUUUUCAUAGUUUACUAAUUCCAAGUGCCCCUUUAUGACACUUUUGUUCAACGAGUUCCAAGCGUGGCAUUAAUAUGUUCACGAUGCAAUCCCACUCAAUUCUAGCAAAGAGACAUGUUCUCACUUGCAAAAUCAAACACCAUCCACAAUGCAUGCAAUCAACACCUAUAGCUCUACUAUAUAGAGUGCAAAUUUUAUGAUACAUAAUGCAUGCAUUUUAAGGGUUCCGAAGUUCACAUAAAUCAUGUUUAACACGGAUUUGCAUUCAAAAAUACUUUACGAAGAAUUUAGAAAGCAUAGGGGCCAUUUUGCCCCAUUUUCAUGAAGUCAAACCCACCAACGGUAAACGAAACCCUUCGUUUGCCCCAACGAAGGUGUCCUCUAGCCUCCUAGUACCCUAGAGGUAUGAAAACAAGUCUCACUUAGUCGAAACGAACGACGCUAAGCUCAAUCAUUAAGCAUUUAGGGCUAGGGUUGAAGAAAACUCACCGAUUGCGAAGAAAGCUCUCACAAUCUUCAAAUGGGAGCUAGAGUCCUUCCAAUCAAACCUAAACAAAGGUUCUAAACUCAUCAAAUAGGUUUCAAAGCCCUCAAAUCCAAAAAGCCCCAAAUCUAACCCUAGAACCCCAAUCUAGGGUUUCAUCAAGCAAAAAGCUCCAAAAUUAGGAUCUAGAGGAGAAGAACUAGUCACAUACCUCUAGAAAGCUCCAAACCAAGUCCAAAAUCCUCCUAGGUUGAAGAUUGGCCCACCACCAAGCUCCAACCGCAAGCUCCAAGCCACCAAGGGUGAGAAGAGAGAAGGGUUGGUGCUUCAAGGCCUCCAAGCUUGAUCUCCUUCUCCUCCUCUUCUUCUUUUUCUCCUUUCUCUCCUUCUUCUUCUCUAUCUAGAGUGCAAAGGGCUGAGAGAAAUGAGGGAAAGAGAGAGGAGAAAGGCUCUCUAUAGCCUCUAAAGUAACAAAAUCCUGAUAAGCCCCUCAAAAACUCAAAUUUACAUCAGCCCGAACUGGGCAGUUUUCGCCCAGAGGGACCGGUCUCUCCCCAGCAGGGACCGGUCUCUCGCUGCGAACCCGAAAAACCAAUGUUCGGGAACCGGUCUCUCCCUGCGCGGGACCGGUCUCUCCCCGCGCAGACGCGCUCGGGGACCGGUCUCGACUGCCAGGGACCGGUUGCCUCGCCAGUUGCGCAGCACUGUGCUGAGGGGACCGGUCUCUCAUAUCAGGGACCGGUCCCCGAGAGUGAAAACUCUCAGGACUAGCCAAAACUUUAGAGAUCGAACUUUUAGGCCGGUAUACCAUCGACGGCCCUCCACCAAGUGUGGAAAAGUUCGGAAUACAUAUCGAACACUCGAACUUCGCAAUUUACAAAGAUCUAGUGUGCUACAGAGAUACACGGGCAUUACGAUCAACUAUAAGAUCAAACAUUAACCUAGAAGCAAAAGGGGCCAAAACUCACCUCAAAAGAAGAAAUCUCUUCCAAAGCUCCAAAAGAGAGCUUGAACCCUUCCAAUCCAAGCCCAAGGAAGGUUCUAAACCAAAGAAUCUAGCUCCAAAAGCCCUAAAUUCGAAACGCCCAAAAUAAACCCUAAGUUCUCAUUCUAGGGUUCCAUCUACUAUAAAGCAUCAAAACCAAAAUCUACAGGGAGAGAAUAAGCCACCAACCUCUUAGAAGCUUCAAUCUAAGCUCAAGGUUCUCAAACUUCAAGGAUCCACCCUCACCAAGCCUCAAGUCCAAGCUCCAAGGGUGAAGAAGCCUCAAAAGAAGCAAAAGAGAGCAAAAAAGGGGGUUUAAUCUCUUAAAAACCCAACCAAAAUCAAAGAAAUGGAGAGGGAGGGUGUGAAGGCUCCCUUACCUCUUCUCCCUGCAGGUGCCAAGCUCAGGGGAGCUCUAGGGGCGUGGGUGAUACAAAUAGAGAUGCCACAAUCGCGAAAAACCCCCUGCAGUUCAAACUGCUCAAAACUAUCUCUGCGUACCGGUACACGGGCCCACGUACCGGUACACCUCCCACGAAACUGCCAAACCCGAGCCUCGGGUUGGCUGAGAAGCAGCCAAUGUUGAUGGCUAUACCGGUAUAGCCAUCACCCCGUACCGGUACACAGCCCUCUGAAGGCUACCCGAGAGCUAACCAAAAAUUCGAUUUUUCGGGUUUUGGUGCUAGACUUUAAACCUCAAUUCUCGGGACUCGAACCACGGGUCGGAACACUGUCUACGACCCUCCACAAAGUGUGGAAAAGCUCGGAACACAACCAAUCACUCGAACCUCGCAAUUUGCAAUGGUCCAGUGUGUUACAUUCACCCCUCCUAAAAAGGAGUUUCGUCCGCGAAACUCGAAAUGACAAGUACCUCAAGCCUCCAUCUGAAAAAGAUGGGGAUAGGGCUCCCUCAGUGCGCUCUCCAGCUCCCAAGUGGCCUCGCGCUCGUCGUGGUUGCUCAAAAGCACCUUCACGUAAGAAAUUUUUCGGUUCCGUAAUCUUUUCACCUCGCGAGCCAAAAUCCUCAAAGGUUGCUCCUCAAAGCUUAAGUCCUCUCUCAGCUCCAAAGGCGUAGCGUCCACAACAUGAGCUGGGUCGUGGAUGUACCUCCGAAAGACCGAUACAUGGAAUACAUUGUGUGCACCGAUAGGUUCAGCGGUAGAGCAAGUCUAUAUGCUACCGGGCCUACACGCUCCAAAACCUCAUAUGGUCCAAUGUAUCGGGGGCUCAACUUACCCCGGAUUCCAAAUCUUCUAAUCCCUCGAGUCGACGAGACUUUUAAGAAGACAUGGUCUCCAAUCUGAAACUCCAAGUCUCGUCGCCGCUUGUCAGCAUAACUCUUUUGCCUACUCUGGGCCGUCAACAGUCGCUAAGCUCCGUGAGAUACCUGCCUUCACAUCUAGCGGUGAAGUAACCUCACUUCAACCGCUCUCUAACCGAAAUCCGGGACUACACGAGGUCCUUCGUCUCCUGUUCCAAGCGUAACGAAACUNGCAAUGCGAACCUUGUCCUCUGCUUCCUGGAGCACAUCAGGGCCUAAAGCCAAUCUCUCGCCAACUUCACUCCAAUGAAGUGGCGAUCUACACUUCCGUCCAUAGAGUGCCUCGAACGGUGCCAUCUUGAUGCUUGCUUGAUAACUGUUGUUAUAAGCAAACUCUGCCAUCGGUAGAUGCUGCGACCAUCCUCCCUAGAAGUGAAUCACACAAGCUCGAAGCAUAUCCUCGAGAGUCUGUAUCGUACGCUCCGACUGCCCGUCACUCAGGGGGUGGAAAGCAGUACUGAAGUCCAAGCGCGUACCCAGAGCAUCCUGUAAGCUCCUCCAAAAGUGGGAUACAAAACGGGGGUCUCGAUCCGAUACUAUAGAAGUAGGCACCCCGUGCAAUCGCACAAUCUCUCCAAAUAAACCUGUGCGAGUCUCUCACCAGUCCAAGUAGUGUGGACAGGUAUGAAAUGUCCUGAUUUCGUCAAUCUAUCCACAAUCACCCAAAUAGCGUCAUGCCCGGCCUGCGAGCGGGGCAAUCCCAUCACAAAGUCCAUAGUGAUCUUCUCCCAUUUCUAUACGGGUAUCGGUAAACUCUGCAGCUUUCCCAUAGGAACUCGGUGCUCAGCUUUCACCUGUUGGCAAGUUAAGCAUCUAGCAACAAACUCACCAACAUCCUUUUUCACCCCGGGCCACCAAUAAAGCAACUUCAAGUCCUUGUACAUCUUGGUGCCUCCCGGAUGUAUAGCAUACGGUGCUCGGUGUGCUUCAUGAAGAAUAUCCUCUUUAAUGCCCAAGUACGCCGGUACACAAAGUCGUCAGCGAAAACGCAUAAAUCCCACACCGUCUAAAGUGAAGUCACCGGUGCAACCAUCAACCAUCUUAGCUUGAAUCUUUUGCAACUCUACAUCGUGAGUUUGCUUUUCCCUGAUCCUCUCCAAAAGAGUAGGUUGCACCGCCAAAGUCAUCAGCCUCAAAGGUGUAUCAGGAGCCACCACCUCCAACUCCAACCGCUUCAUCUGCUCGAUCAACGGCGGUUGAGUAACCACAAGCAUCGCUAAGUUUUCCGUCGAUUUCCUACUUAGCGCAUCAGCCACCACGUUAGCCUUGCCUGGGUGGUAGAGUAUCGUCAAAUCAUAAUCCUUGAGUAGCUCCAACCAUCUGCGCUGCCUCAAGUUCAACUCCUUCUGAGUGAAUAGAUAUUUUAAGCUCUUGUGAUCCGUAUAUACUUCGCAUCGCUCGCCGUAUAAGUAGUGGCGCCAUAGCUUCAAUGCAAAGACCACGGCUGCCAACUCUAAGUCGUGAGUAGGGUAAUUCCUUUCAUAAUCCUUCAAUUGGCGAGAUGCAUACGCGAUCACUUUUCCGUCCUGCAUCAAAACAUAGCCCAAUCCGUUAAAGGAAGCAUCACUAUAAAUCACAUACCCUGCUCUAGCUGUCGGCAAGGUAAGGAUCGGGGCGGUCGUUAAUCUCUGUUUCAACUCCUGGAAGCUCCUUUCACACGCAUCAUUCCAAAUGAACUUGGUGCCUUUAUGCGUGAGCCUCGUGAGGGGGGUAGACAACUUUGCAAAUCCCUCGACAAACCGCCGGUAGUAGCCGGCCAAACCAAUGAAGCUUCGUAUCUCAGUCACGCUCGUCGGCCUCGGCCAAUCCUUGAUAGCUUCAAUUUUCCUAGGAUCCACAGCUAUCCUGAUCCUGAAAUCAAAUGGCCCAAGAAUGCCACCUCUCUAAGCCAAAACUCACACUUUUUCAACUUGGCAUAAAGCUUCUUUUUCCGAAGCACUUGAAAUACUAGUCUCAAGUGUUCCUCGUGAUCCGCAUCACUUCGGGAAUAGACCAAAAUGUCGUCGAUGAACACCACGACGAACCUGUCUAAAUAAGGCUUGAAAACACGGUUCAUUAAAUCCAUAAAAGUUGCCGGGGCAUUAGUAAGCCCAACGGCAUAACGGUAAACUCAUAAUGUCCAUACCGUGUUCUAAAAGCCGUCUUCGAUACAUCCUCAGGUCUGAUCCUCAACUGGUGGUAUCCCGACUGCAAGUCGAUCUUGGAAUACACACAAGAUCCCUGGAGCUGAUGAAAUAGAUCAUCAAUCCUCGGUAAUGGAUACUUGUUCUUGAUCAUGACUUUGUUAAGUUCACGAUAGUCCACGCACAAACGAAGUGAUCCAUCAUUCUUCUUCACAAAUAGGACCGGUGCUCCCCAAGGUGACACACUUGGUCGCACAAAACCCUUGUCUAGAAGAUCCUGUAACUGUGCCUUCAGCUCUCUCAAUUCUGCUGGUGCCAUCCUAUAGGGUGCCUUUGAGAUUGGAGUAGUCCCGGGAACGAGAUCUACCACAAACUCAAUCUCCCUGUCAGGUGGCAUGCCUGAAAGCUCCGCUGGAAACACAUCUCCAAACUCCCGCAUUACGGGGAUAUCCUCAAUCCUAGGGGCGUCAUCCUCACCUCGCAACACAACAGUAGCCAAGUAGGCUACACAGCCUCUACCUAUUAACUGCCGAGCUCGAGAAGAGCUAAUCGUCAUCGCAAAAAGUGAACUCUGGCAUCCUCGGUACACAACCUCCGCCUGCCCCGGCUCUCUAAACGUCACCGUUCGAUCCUUGCAAUCGAUGGUGGCAAAGUACUUGGUCAACCAAUCCAUGCCCAACACAACAUCAAACUCCCCGAGUUUAUGCAAAGCUAGCAAGUCCGCGGGCAUGAUCCAAUCUCCAACCCGAACAGGGCAACUGGGGCAAAACUCCCGAAUGUCCAAAGAAUGAUCGGGUACAACAACUCGUCCCGGAUGCAACAAGGAUACAAGUGGGAUGCCAUGCAACUCGGCAAACAGUCGGUUUAUGAAUGAAUGCGAUGCACCGGUAUCAAACAAUGCUCUAACUCGAAUACCAUAAAGUAAAAUAAUACCUGCGACCACAUUCUCGGCUGCCGCCGCCUCCUCAGUCUGGGCCGCAUACAUGCGGCCGCUCGGGGCCUGUCGUGACCCCUCCGCCUGUCGCUGAACAGGUGGCCGUCCGACCUGGUGAUGCGCGGAAGAUGUCCCCUGGCUGGGACCUGGCGAUGCUGGUGCAGAUGCCGAAGAUGGCGCUGGCAAUGGACUCCUCGGACAGUCCGACUGGAAGUGGCCCUCCUGGCCACACAGGAAGCACCUGCCCCGGCUGCGUGAACACUAUCGCCGGUAGUGGGGACCACCACAGAUCACGCAGCGGGGAGCCUGGCGACGAUCGGGUCCUCCUCGCUGAGUAGACGAGCCACGUCCUCGCGACUGGCUCCGGCUCCUGGGGUGCCUCAGCGGCCUCCGUGAGUGCGUCUGACUCGCACCCUCAGCUAGAGGCCUCUUGCCCUUCCCUUUCUCCGAGCUCUCGCGACGCUCCUGCAGAUCCACCGCUCCUGCCUCCACUAUCAACGCUCGAUCCACAACCUCCCGAUAGGUCUGGAGGUUGGAAGACUACACCAACCGGAAGAUAGAAGGCCGCAAACCGCGCUAAAAAAUACGGGCCUUGUCCUCGUCAUCCCUCACAACAAACGGUACACAGUGAAGUAGCCGGGAGAACUCCCUCUCGUACUCGGCCACUGUUCGCUCGUCCUGGCGCAAGCUGCGCAAAUCCUGCUCCAUCUUCCUCUUGACGCUGGUCGGAAAGUAAUGCGCUAGAAGAAGCUCCUUGAACCUCGUCCAAGUAAUCGCUGCCAAGUCGGUGUUGGGGUUGUCCUGAAUAUCCAACCACCAACGGUAGGCCUCGCCGUCAAGAAAGUGAGUGGCAAGCCAAACUCUGUCCCGCUCCUCCACAAAGGUGUCUCGAAAAAGCUUCUCCAUGUGCAUCAACUACUUCUCAACAAUCCAGUGGUCGACGUUCUCGCCAUCAAACGUCCUUGGGCUGCACCUCCUGAACUCACUGAGGCGAUCCAUGAGUCGAUCCCGCUCGGCUCCCUCGGCCCUCACGAGGAAAGCCGCCCCCGUGGCCGGUCUCUGAACUGGGUGUGCCGCAGCCACCUCCUCCCGAGGUGUGGUUGCCGGUGCCGCACGGGAAGAACUGGGCGCGGGGGACUGCGCUCUCGGUGCGAUGUCCACCAUGGGUGCUGGCGGUGUGGGAACCUGGGUCUCCCUCGAAGCUGCCGCCUGCUGGAGUAGGAGGUCCUCAAGUUGCUUCAUCCGCGCCUCCUGUCGCUGAGCCACCUCAGCCUGUCACUGCGCCACUGCCGUCUGCUGCGCCAACAGAUCAGUGAGAACUGCAAGCUGGGUCCUCAAGUCACGGACCUCACUAGAUCCGGAAGUAGCGGAGGUCUCGACCUCCUUAGGGUGUGCUGCAUCAUCCGCCCCGGCAGACUGGGAGCGUGUAACCGGCAUCGUCACUACAAAACAUAAAAGCGCAAGUUAGUAACCCACGCUAUCGCAUCCCCGCUCAAAUAAGUAAGUACUCAAAUCAUGCGAAAGUAAGAAAGUGUCCUUCACUACUAACUCCCGAUGUUACGUUGUCUGCCGCCAACGUAACCCUCCGCGAAGUUAGAAGUCAUACACUCCGAUCGAACUCUAACUUUUUAGAGUUAUCUUCAAACCCAAUCGAAAUACUUUCGCUAACAAUUCAAUUGGACCUCGUCUCUCGCGAGCCUAUUUUCUAUAAUCCAACUGGCCUAAGGUUUGCAAGGUCCUUUAAGACUCAACCCUAGGCUCUGAUACCAAAUUAAUCUGUCACGCCCCGGGAUCGGCAGAGGCCCUCUCGGGAGCGCGCCCAGACCCGCCAUAUGUCUACACAUACAAGGCGUCUACAAUAAAAACGAAAGUAAAAGCAAGAAAUAAUCUACAACUAGAGAUAUCAGAGCAAAUAUAAUUUUAUCAUCUAUAAGGAGAGAGUACAAAGAUCACAACUAAACCAUAGAAGUAAAAUAUAAAGUAAUACAAUAUCUGUCCAAAAGUACACAAAUGGGGUGGUCUCUAGUACACUGGUACAGCUCUCAACCUCUCCAAAAUAAAAACAUCGAGAGGUAGACCACCUAGCGACUCGUCACUCGCUGAAGAGCUAGCUCGAAGCCACGCCCUUCCCUCGGUCCCUAGCCUCUUCCGGCGUGGAAGGCUCUGAAAGAAAACAUAAAACAGAGGGCGUGAGAACUAUAAUUUAUAGUUCCCAGUGGGCAAUUACUGACCUCAGCUCAAUGCACCACUAGGUCCCAAAAGAAAAGAGUAAGUAACGACAAUAAUAAUAAGCAAUAAAGAGCGAGUAUAAGAACUGCUGAAAGAAAGCAUAAAUAAAAUGCUAUACUACUAUGUCUCAAGUAAGCAUGAUGUCAUGGGGAUGUACAUCUACGCUAUCAUAAGAUAAUAUGUCCAAUGCAUAAGGAGUAAGCUCUAUCAAAGCAACCCAGUAUACUAUGAUGUAAUGAAUGAAACAGGCAAGUAUACUAUAUAUAUCCCAAUGCUAUGUCAUGAGCAUGUUAAGUAAUCCAACUACUAAGCCUAUCUAGUAGUGAUUAUACAUUCUCAACACUGUGUCGAUUUCCAUUUCCAAUUAAAGACCUACCAAAGGUAGUCGAGCUUGUGCCGCCUAAGUGCCUGUGGUAGCCGAACAUCCCCACUCUUGGAAUGUGUCUGUCCCACUCGACCCCGUAGGCUUCUCAAUACCGCACGAGCGAACAUAAGUCGCGUAGGCUAACUCCGGAGUGCCGGCUUGUAGGGAGCGACCCUCAUAAGCAUGUGCGAAUGAGCACAAAUGGCAAACAAGCAUAGUCAACGUCUCAAGUAUCCAAUCCUCAUGUCUCUAACAUGGUAUCGUCACUAGCAUCCCGAAAAUCUAGUUUAAGUCACAAGGUGAAGUUCUAACAUUCACUACGCCUAGUGCCCCUUGAUGACACUUAGACAAUUUAAUGUUCAACAUAAUCCAAAUCCCUCAAUGGCCCUAACCACUAGGUUCACACAUAUCCCGAGCUCAAUGCCGCUUGAUGACAUUAGCUCUCUAAUUCACAUACAUUCUAGUUCGAUGCCUCUAUAUGGCAAUUUUGUCAUCUUUCAUGUCUCAAAUAAACCUAGGUUUAAAUACAUGAAUCAAAGCUUAUUUUCAUUAUAAGGAACAUGGCCCAACAUGAGAAUGCUAAACAAUCAACCAUAAGCUUCAUAUGCGACUCUCUAUUACAUAGAAGUCCAAAAUUGCACUAUAUGUAACAUAGGCAUUUUAAGCAUUCUAAAAUUCACAAUAAAUACAUAUAACAAGAAUAUGCCAUUGCUUUUUCAUUUACAAUACUUUAAAUCAUCACACAAUGAGGUUUUUUCAUUGUGUGGCUAGGUCAAACCCACCGAACCGUCGCGUAGUGCCUUGUUUCGCCGAACGAAGUUGUCCAUGAGUCUCAAAAUAUCCUAAAAGUACUGAGCGAAAAGAUACACGGGCAUUACGAUCAACUAUAAGAUCAAACAUUAACCUAGAAGCAAAAGGGGCCAAAACUCACCUCAAGAGAAGAAAUCUCUUCCAAAGCUCCAAAAGAGAGCUAGAACCCUUCCAAUCCAAGCCCAAGGAAGGUUCUAAACCAAAGAAUCUAGCUCCAAAAGCCCUAGAUUCGAAACGCCCAAAAUAAACCCUAAGUUCUCAUUUUAGGGUUCCAUCUACUAUAAAGCAUCAAAACCAAAAUCUAGAGGGAGAGAAUAAGCUACCAACCUCUUAGAAGCUUCAAUCCAAGCUCAAGGUUCUCAAACUUCAAGGAUCCACCCUCACCAAGCCUCAAGUCCAAGCUCCAAGGGUGAAGAAGCCUCCAAAGAAGCAAAAGAGAGCAAAAGAGGGGGUUUAAUCUCUUAAAAACCCAACCAAAAUCAAAGAAAUGGAGAGGGAGGGUGUGAAGGCUCCCUUACCUCUUCUCCCUACAGGUGCCAAGCUCAGGGGAGCUCUAGGGGCGUGGGUGAUACAAAUAGAGAUGCCACAAUCGCGAAAAACCCCCUGCAGUUCAAACUGCUCAAAACUGUCUCUGCGUACCGGUACACGGGCCCACGUACCGGUACACCUCCCACAAAACUGCCAAACCCGAGCCUCGGGUUGGCUGAGAAGCAGCCAAUGUUGAUGGCUGUACCGGUACAGCCAUCACCCCGUACCGGUACACAGCCCUCUGAAGGCUACCCGAGAGCUAACCAAAAAUUCGAUUUUUCGGGUUUUGGUGCUAGGCUUUAAACCUCAAUUCUCGGGACUCGAACCACAGGUCGGAACACUGUCUACGACCCUCCACAAAGUGUGAAAAAGCUUGGAACACAACCAAUCACUCAAACCUCGCAAUUUGCAAUGGUCCAGUGUGUUACACCGAAGAUGUCUAACUCACCAAAAGUGCGUUCGAGUUGGAGUCCACGAGAGCAAAUAGUGUAAAGUCUGCACUUAGCGGAGUUGCUCUCGGGGACCGGUCCCUGGCAGAGAGGGACAAGUCCCCGUAGCCAAUGGUUGCGGGGUUGCUUCAUGCAACCAGUCCCUGGAUCUGAGGGACCGGUCCCCCCGUGUGCGAAAUCGGCGAGAAGCAAAAAAUUGACUGAGUCCCGAAAAUGCCCCUCUCGGGAACCGGUCUCUCAGCAGGAACCGGUCUCCCGAGGACCGAUCUCUCGGGCAAGGACCGGUCCCCGUAGCUCGAAAUUGCCCAGUUUGGGGCAAUGCACAUUCUUGAGUUCAAUCGCAAUCCCGAACCUCGGAGGUGCCUUUGUUGACUUCCUUGAGAUGCGGGAUUGUGGGAGUUCUCACCGAGCACGGUAGUGUGCGUUGCGUGGUGAGAUAGGCGUUCGUGCAGUUGAUUGCAGGGUCGUGUUGUAGGCGGUAGCCUCUUCCUCUCCGAGAUAGUUUGUGGAUGUGAAGUCUACAGAGUGGUCUAGAGAACGAGUGGUAAGGAAGCGACAAUGAAGGGUUCGCGGUGGGCACUGAGUGACCGUGAUUACGCGGCCCUAGUCGGGGGACCUUGCAUGCAAUUAUCAUGUAGUCGCUUACUACCGUUGGUACAUCAACGUAGCAAGAACCAAAGAGACGGGCAAGUGUAAAUACCCGAGCAUGCUUGCACGUGAGGGUGUAACGCUUGCUGGAGUAGAUGGAGGGCUAGACGGUACUAGCAAAUUACUAGUAGUGGAUUCUAGACAGGAAGUGAGACUCGUGGGAAAGACAAAACGGUGAAGCGACUCUCAAGACAACAGGUAGUUGGUUGCGAGAGUUGAGCCGUGAUACUUGUGCAUAACCGAGCAAUUCGAGUGUCUCGGAUGUAGUUCCGAUAGUUUGAACAGUGAAAGUAGGAUCACUGCUGAGAGAGUGGUUGGUUGAUUAUCGAGUUACGGCCUCGAAUUGAGAUGGCUGAGUCAUGCUUGUGUGGCCAUGUGCUAGGGCAGAAGUGCCUAAGGCUCGAAUUUAGAGUAGAGCGCUAGAGAGGCAUACGACGUGCGAGUGAAGAUACUCAUAGAGUACGGAUUUGCUUCAGCGAGAGAGUGUGUUGGCUGUAGCACUUUAGCGUUGCUAAGUGUGAAGCGGGCCAUGGAACACUCGUAGGGCUGGUGGCUCACACUAGGUGCUUAGGCACUUAGGAGCCGGUAAUGGUACGUGUAACUCAUGGAGUAUGUCGUGUAAGACGACAACGGCGGGUAGUGCUUGAAGACGACCCGUAUCUAGACCAAUUGUGGACUGUGAAGCCUGGGCCCUUUAGGUAGGCGCAGUCAGCUGCAAGUGACAGCGGCCUGAUACCUAUGGGUAGGGCAUAGUUUGGUCAGGUUGGUAGUCCGAGCUUAGACCCGGGAGCGUGAAAUGCCACGUAUUUGAUCAUAAGAUCGAGGAUACACCGAGUGUGUAGUGACCCAACCCGAGGACUUGAUUGAGUUUGGGGUCAUAAUUACCCCUGGUUCAAGUGUGUGCGAAUUCCUAAGUGAGAAUUUCGUCCGGUUAUAAUUGGGUCUGCGCUUGCGAGCGAGAGACAGUACGAGUAUCGAGACAGGAUAGGCGGUAGACCUACGUAAGAUUGGUGGCCUGUAGUCCACCUGUGGAAACCGAGAUAAGCGAUUUAGUCGACAACUCUAUUGAGAGGUUUGGCCGGGAUUUGCGAACGGGUGCUUAGGUAAAUUCGUUGUGAGAGCAAGCUUGACGUUGGCCAUGGCAAAUGGGAUUAGAAGUAAAGUGAUCUCUAGGAGACGCUUAGAUGGUGGAUAGCCACGUGAGGAUUGAAGUUGAUGCUCUCCAAUGGAUUGGAGCCUGCGGAUAAUGCUCAUUCAAGGAUUGAGAUUCGAGAUGUGCUAGAGUGGGCUAUCUCGUGAUGGAGCAAGGAUCUAGUCGAGGAUUGAAGCACUCGCGAUUGGUCGACGCACCAAUGAUAUUGCUUUUAGGCAAUGCCGGUGAUCGGAUUGGAGUGUAAUCCUUAGAUUCUAUAGCGAGUGGUGUUGGAGCACUAGGGGUCGUCAUAUAUCGACUUGCGCUGCCGCCAUGGCUUGCGAAGGUAGUAAUGCACUUUUGGAGUUGCGUUUAGCCAAUGUGAGUGAAGUUGGCCUCACAUCCUCCUUAGCGAACCUUUAAAUAGUUCCAAUGAGUGAAAGACCACUCCGAGAUGCGAAAGUGCAUUGCAACCCCCGAUUACUCGAUGAGUAAAUGGAGGUGUGAAUUGGAGUUCGGGUUGUUUGAGUUUCAAGGACGAAACUCUUAUUAAGGAGGGGAGGAUGUAAGGUACCGGACUUCUAAAAUCAUGAGGUUACGGUGUACAUUUGGUUGGAAAGCCAUUUGAAUGGUUCCGAUGAAGUUCGGUGAAGCUCGGAAGCAUUCGAGCGUUUCGGUGCGCGUAGGCGUGUAAACGGGACCCGAAAGGAUACGUUGUGCCGCAAACUAAAUCCGGCAUUUGCAGGGAUGAAAACAUGAUGUAAAUACGCUCGAAAUCAUGUUUUGAGAGUCUCGGUUCGAUUUGAGACGAAUCGGAAGUCAAACGGGUGAAAACGGAGCGAAACGGAGCAAAAUGGGCAAAAGCUGAAAAUUGCAGUUUUCUGGUCCAUUGGGGACCGGUCCCUGCAUGGGAGGACCGGUCCCCGAACCCGAAAAUGCCCAUUUUGGGCUGUUUGAGAGGCUAAGAGUUGAGGGGGCUUAUUGCACUUGUUACAUGAGUUGGAGACAAAGAGAGGGGAUGGCCCUCUCUCUUUCUCAUUCUCCCUCAACCGUGGCCCUCCCUCUCUCUCUAAAACUCUCUCUUUCUCUCUCUAAGAAGUGGAGCAAGAAGGUGGAGAUAGAGGAGAAAGCUUGAAGAAGUGGGCUUCAUCUUCUUCUUCUUCCUCUUUAGGCCAUUGGAGCAAGCUCUAAGGUAAGCUUUUGAUGCUCAACAAUGGUAGCUUUCUAUAGUUCGGGUUUUGAACUCUAAGAAUGGGUUUAGAGAUAUUCUAGCAUGCUAAUUAGAGGUUUGAUGCUUGAAUUCUAAGCUUUAAUGGUGGAUUUAGCCUAGUUGUAAACCUAGGGCUUAAAAUGGGUCUUCAUUCAUAGAUCAUGGGUUUUGAUCUCUAGAAAUGGUAUGUUUGGAAUCCUAGGAUGCUAAUGAGAUAAUUAUUACCUAAAUCUUGGAUGAAUUUGGAGUAUUUAGUGGUAAUGGCAUCUAGGGCUUCAAAAAUGGGGGUUUUGUAAAUAGUUGGGUUUGAUCUCUUUUAACCCUCUGUAAACCUAAUUGAUAGGUCACUGAACGCGUGGCAAGCGACGGUUCGUCGAUUCGUCGAGCGGGUGCGACGUUCCGGCUGAAACAAGUGUUCGUGGGUUCGUAUUGACCCGAGGAGCCGAGGCGGCUUCCAUAAAUCGUGGGAUCGCAUCCCGAGCAUCAUAACGAAGAACCGAAGACCUUUAAUUUACGGAUCGCAAAUCGGUGGUCAUUUGACGGUCGCGUGUAAAUGGGGUCGAGCUGUGCGGCGUACGCCGCGAGAGGCCGAUUGCAGGUGACGACGAGCAAUCUGAACGUGAUAAAAGGUGGGUGGUGACCAUCCCGAAGCAACUGGGCCCCCUUCUGUGUCUUAGUACAUUUUGAUUCUUGCAUCUUGUAUUAUUGCAUUAUAGGAUGAUUGUGCAUUGCCUUUCCUUAUACUUUCCUUGAUGAUAUCGUAGCAUGUACUGGAUACUUGAUAUAGUGGAUUGAUAAGGAUUGGGUCGAGACUUGUGAAUCCUAUAGUGCAGAGAAAAAGAUGAGCUCAAUGGUUGGUUUAAUGUUAAACAAAGAACGAGUGGCAUUUAGUCGAUAGUAAACAAUGAACGAGUGGCAUUCUAGUUGAUAGUGUAUAAGAAAACAAGUGAUACAUGUCAAACUUAGUGUAUACGACACUUAUGGACUAUAUGAUAAUAAUAAACCUAGAGGAUAGGGUACCCUCGAGUGGAGAGGAUUGGAUUAUGCUCACGGUCUGUUUUUUUUAACUUGUGAUGGAAGCCCCACACAAGAAGUGUGCUCCGGAGUUGGUCACGUGGGAUGGCCUAUUUUGGGUCCCAAGGGAUGGCCUAUUUUGGGUCCCGGCAGACGGUCUCGGUUCGUAGUGCGAGUUGACCCUCCCUACCUUCGAGAUGGCUAGUGAGCAGUAGGCGAGCCUUCAGGGAAGCCACGAGAUUAAUAAACAAGUAAAUGAGAUUGAUGAACAAGUACAUAGCUUUACUUUUUGGACAUGAUGACAGGUUAGUUGCUUACCAUUUCAUUGUACAUGCAUUCAUAUGUUUAUGAUUCGGGCAUAGUAGUGUAGCUUUAUUAUCCUGUCUUUACAGCUUCGCUUAUUAUCUACCUAUCUAUCUGGUUAUCUACUUGUGCCCACUUGGACCUAGUGGGGAGAACGGCGGAGUCGGCGGCGAACCCACUGGGAACUAAGGAAGUUGGUUCUCACCCCCUAUUUUACUACAGGGCCGAGCGUGAGUUCACACGGCGAGGAUCGCGGUAAGGGCCUAGCGCCCUAGUUGCAUUAGUUUACUUUCCUAUUUCUGCAUUAGAGUCACCUUUAUAUGCAUUGAGAGUAGAUGAUGUAUAGGAUGUGAGAUAUUCUAGAAUGAAUGUAAGCUAAUGUUUAUAUUUUGGAAGAUGUAAGCUUU